CCCUGAACCGAUUCGUUCGCCAGACUCGGUUCACGAUGGAGACGGCACGUUCCGUGCUCGACUCCAUCAGGGAGAACGAUUUCAUGCUUUCAGUGGAUUUGAAGGAUGCGUAUUUCCAGAUACCCAUCCAUCAAUCCUCCAGAAAGUAACUCCGCUUCAUCCUCGACAGGACGGUGUACCAAUUCAGGGCACUUUGCUUCGGUCUCUCAACCGCCCCACAGGUGUUCACGCGAUUGUUCACUCGUGGUGGCUGCUCAACACGUGUAGCGAACCCAGACCCUCGCAGGCUGAACAGCAUCGAGUCCUGGUGUGACUGUAAGAAUGGAUGAGUGAAUGAGAGUGUGACUGGCUCCUCUUCCCAUCUUUUUCUCCCCCUCUACCUGUGGGCAGAGGGACACGGUCGUCACCCUGCUGGAUGAGGACGAGAUGCAGGUGAGCUACUUGACAGAGCCCCAUCCUAUCCCUUUCACUAGGGAUAGGAGUGAAUAUCCAUCACUUCCCCCAACAAGGGGGGGAAGUGGAUGCCAACAAGAGACAAACCCAUAACUUUAUGUUGCCUCUUGCAAACAGGAACUUGUUCUUGCUUGCUGGUACGAAGAGAUACGCUUGCCCCUCUCUUAUUACUUGGUCCAGAGGUCUGACCAUUGACCCUGCGGUGCACACCCCGAUCAAUCGGACAGAGGCGUGGAUCCCUCCCUCGCUCUUACGACCAGGGAGGCAAUCCAAGGUUGGGCGAACACCAGUCUGUUCACAAAAGACUCAGAUUCCUCCCACCAAGAAGUGAGUCUUCCUAUUGUAAAAGGACCGAAAGGUUUGUAUCCCGUGUCGGAACAAAUGACAAUUUGGCCAAAAGUGAUUGUUUACCUCCCAGUCGCCCGGCGCGCGCACUGUCGGACAAGCAGUUAACUACCGAACUCCCUUGUUCGAAAGCUUACGACCAUCCAGCUGCCGCUAGUUACCUUCCUAUUGUAAAAGGACCUCAGGUUUGUAUAGUUAGGAAAAAUGCAUUUGUGGACAAAUUGUCAUAUGUGGCUGUUUUUGUUUCAUGAACAUAUUUAUUGAGUCAUUUACUUCAUGGGGAACUAAUUAUCAUCACUUUUUUAAGUCUGCCUUUUGUUAUAACUCCCAUCAGUUCCAGAUCUGUAUCUAUCAUUGUUUCAUGCUAUCAUUUCCUUUGUUGUCUUUUAGGUCUUCAUCCUGGUACUUCCUAAUAUACUCGUUUUAGACCAAAUAUUCCUCAUCCUUUCUUUUCAGUUGUCCAAACCAUCUCAGUUUUUGAAAUCUCAGCUUAUUUUCCAGCCACAAGACACCAUGUUGCUUCACCACUUCCUCAUUCUUAGUACAAUUUUCCCACCACAAUUUUGCCACUAAUCCCAACAUUCUUUUAGGUGUUCUCUUCUUCUGUCUUCAAAACUUCAGAAAUUUUUGAAGGGGAGCUCGACUAUGUAGAUUAAGGCUGAUUAUUAAUGAUGAGUUUGUAUAAGAAAAAUUACUUUAUGGUAGUAGUUAUGUAUUUCUAGAAUGUCAGAAUUUUUUAUUGUAUGAAUUUAAUAAAUGGCAAUAGUAGAAUUUUAAAGGCUUAUUACUGACAAGUAUUUAUACUUUCACAGUCAUAUUUAGAUAUAAUAUUUGUAAUAACAUUGCUAAGAUAUAAAAUCCUAAUAAUAGUUUUCCUUUUCCAGGUUCAUGACUUAAGCUCAGUUCAAAGACUAACACGUACUACAAAUUCUGAGUCUCCCAGUGUCCAAAUUAGCAAAAGAAGAUACCUCAGUGUUAAUUUUGCAUAAACUAAGUGUUUGUUAUUGUUACUGCCUGCAUUGUAUUGUUGUUGUUAUUGUUAUUUGGUAGUUUAACCAGACCACUGAGUUAAAAAGUCAUAAUUGAGGAAUUAGGGUUGUGUGAGUGGCUAUUAUAUAUGCAUCAGGUGUAGUUUGUUAAAAUUGGAAAGAACAAUAAAAGAAAAGGCCUAGUGCCACCACCCAAGAUGCUGGCCCUAUGGAACUGCACUGGUGCUACUUGAGUCUCCCCUGCUGUCCUGCUGCCAGAGGACCCAUAAUACAUAACUGUAGACAUUUCAGGCAAACUCACACGACAAGUGUUGUGUUGUGUUUCUUCUCUUGAGUGCAAUUUGAAGUAUGGUUUAUGACAGCUGUUUGUUUACUUGCAACUUUUCAUAACUUAGACAUUAUCCAGUUUGUUAAUAUUUGGUCUAUUAGGUAUCUCUAAGAAUCUUCGUAACAAUGUAGAGGUUAAGAUGCUGCUGAAAUUUUUUCUCUCACUGAUAGUUUUUAUUAUUGCUGAACUUAAAACUCUUAACGAUGUAUGAAAUGUCACGGAACUAGUGAUGAUCUUCUUGACACGAGAACUUGAGAAAAACUGUUGAGUCGCAGUUGUAACCUGUCCAACUGUCAGAUUUUUCAAGUUCCACCCAUCUAAUGUGGAGCAAAGUUCCCUUUAAAAGUAUGACUGAAGAAGGAACAAAUAUACUUAGUUUUUUUAAACUUUUUUCAGUGAUCUAAGACCAUUUUUGAUAUUGCAGUUUCAUAGUUCCCUAGGAGACCUUUUGCCAUGCAGAUUGGUUCCUUAGUUAAAUUAUGACUGACGUACCGAGUGCUGUUCCUAGAAAGUAUUGGUUUAAACACCAGUAAAGUAUUUGGAUAACUUUACCAUAGAAGUGAAAAACUUUAUUUUUAUAAGCUGAUCUGCAGGGGUAAUUUAGUUUUGCUGUUAGCCAAAUUUCUGUAGUAUAUGCAUAAACUAUAUUAGUCUGGUUAUGAAAAUAGAAUUCUCAGAUAGAAAAUUCAAGCUGUAGGUCUUCUGGUAGUUUGAUGUAAGAAUAUUUGGCCAAACAGAGUAUACUUUGCUGUUGAGAUGCAUUAUUUGCCAGAAUACAUAUGAGUGCAUUUCAAAUUUGACCCUCACUGUCUGUCACAUAGCACUGUUUUUAUAAAUGAGUGGAUUGAUUAUUAUGGAAUAUUUCUCAGUUUUGUGAGAGAUCUUUUAUUAAUUUGAUGUGAAUGUUGAAUA